AUUGAACGCUGGCGGAAUGCUUUACACAUGCAAGUCGAACGGUAGAGGGGGCAACCCCUUGAGAGUGGCGAACGGGUGAGUAAUAUAUCGGAACGUGCCCAGUCGUGGGGGAUAACGUAGUGAAAAUUACGCUAAUACCGCAUACGAUCUAAGGAUGAAAGCGGGGGAUCGCAAGACCUCGCGCGACUGGAGCGGCCGAUAUCAGAUUAGGUAGUUGGUAGGGUAAAGGCCUACCAAGCCAACGAUCUGUAGCUGGUCUGAGAGGACGACCAGCCACACUGGAACUGAGACACGGUCCAGACUCCUACGGGAGGCAGCAGUGGGGAAUUUUGGACAAUGGGCGAAAGCCUGAUCCAGCCAUUCCGCGUGCAGGAUGAAGGCCCUCGGGUUGUAAACUGCUUUUGUACAGAACGAAAAGGUUUCUAUUAAUACUAGGAGCUCAUGACGGUACUGUAAGAAUAAGCACCGGCUAACUACGUGCCAGCAGCCGCGGUAAUACGUAGGGUGCAAGCGUUAAUCGGAAUUACUGGGCGUAAAGCGUGCGCAGGCGGUUAUAUAAGUCAGAUGUGAAAUCCCCGGGCUCAACCUGGGAACUGCAUUUGAGACUGUAUAGCUAGAGUACGGUAGAGGGGGAUGGAAUUCCGCGUGUAGCAGUGAAAUGCGUAGAUAUGCGGAGGAACACCGAUGGCGAAGGCAAUCCCCUGGAC
rnacentral:rRNA from 1 species